rnacentral:rRNA from 1 species
UUCUUUUGGGGCCCCUUCGGAAGGACACCCUUUCACCCAACCCUUUUUCCCCCUCGCCCCCAACCCCCCACACCAAAAACCUCCCGCCAAAAUUUAAAGGCAAAAAUUGGGGGAAACCUCCCCGGCAAGGCAAUGUUUCGUCUAAAUUACUAAUCCCCAGAACCCCGGGUCCCCCGCAAAGAAAUAAACCAAUACAAACAACCCCCCCCAAAGCCCGGCCUUACCCCAGAAAACCCCCCGAAAACCCACCCUUAUCUUUUCUUUCUAUUUUUUCUUCUCAAAGAUUAAGCCAUGCAUGUCUAAGUAAAAUAAUUUUACUGUGAAACUGCGGAUGGCUCAUUAAAUCAGUUAUAGUUUAUUUGAUAGUCGCUUACUACAUGGAUAACCGUGGUAAUUCUAGAGCUAAUACAUGCGUAAAGACCCGACUUCUGGGAGGGUCGUAUUUAUUAGAUACAAAACCAAUGCGGGGCAACCCGGUUCUUGGUGAAUCAGAAUAACUGAACGGAUCGCAUGGCCUUGCGCCGGCGAUGAAUCAUUCAAAUUUCUGCCCUAUCAACUUUCGAUGGUAAGGUAUUGGCUUACCAUGGUUACAACGGGUAACGGGGAAUUAGGGUUCGAUUCCGGAGAGGGGGCCUGAGAAAUGGCCACCACUUCCAAGGAAGGCAGCAGGCGCGCAAAUUACCCAAUCCUGACACAGGGAGGUAGUGACAAUAAAUAACAAUGCGGAGCUUUCGAGUUUCGUAAUUGGAAUGAGAACAAUAUAAAUACCUUAGCGAGUAACAAUUGGAGGGCAAGUCUGGUGCCAGCAGCCGCGGUAAUUCCAGCUCCAAUAGCGUAUAUUAAAGUUGUUGCAGUUAAAAAGCUCGUAGUUGGAUUUCAGGGCCUGGAGUGCGGUCCGCCUCAAAGCGAGCACCGCAUACUCUGGGACCACCUUCCUGAGGACCCGUGUGCCCUUAACUGGGUGUGCGUGGGAUUCAGGGACUUUACUUUGAAAAAAUUAGAGUGUUCAAAGCAGGCGUUUGCUUGAAUACAUUAGCAUGGAAUAAUGGAAUAGGACUUUGGUUCUAUUUUGUUGGUUUCUAGGACCGAGGUAAUGAUUAAUAGGGACAGUUGGGGGCAUUAGUAUUUAAUUGUCAGAGGUGAAAUUCUUGGAUUUAUGAAAGACUAACUUCUGCGAAAGCAUUUGCCAAGGAUGUUUUCAUUAAUCAAGAACGAAAGUUAGGGGAUCGAAGACGAUUAGAUACCGUCGUAGUCUUAACCAUAAACUAUGCCGACUAGGGAUCUGUGGGUGUUUUUUCAAGACUCCAUGGGCACCUUGUGAGAAAUCAAAGUUUUUGGUUCCCGGGGGAGUAUGCACGCGGG